GAAAGAAAAAAGGCCGGGCGCGGUGGCUCACACCUGUAAUCCCAGCACUUUGGUAGGCGAAGGCGGGUGGAUCACUUGAGGUCAGGAGUUCAAGACCAGCCUGGCCAACAUGAUGAAAUCCCAUCUCUACUAAAAAUACAAAAAUUAACCAGACAUGGUGGUGGGAGCCUGUAAUCCCAGGUACUCGGGAGGCUGAGGCACGAGAAUCGCUUGAACCCGGGAGGCAGAGGUUGCAGUGAGCCGCGAUCGCGCCGCUGCACUCCAGCCCUGGCGACAGAGUGAGACUGUCUCAAAAAAAAGAAGAAAAAAAAAAGGAUAAAUCGAUAAGAUGGGAUCACAAUGACGUGAAAGAAGCUAAGGAAAAUCUGGAACAUUAUACAGCAUCUACAAUUAGCUUCAGAGAAAAGAAAGCAGCAAGCGCAGUGGAAGCAAGACAAGAAAGCUAAUACUAGCUUCAGAUUUCCUGGAAGGAGGAAGAGCACGUGACGAGAGGGGCAGCUAAUAGCAGUAGUUCAGUCUCUUGGAUUAGAAGGAAUGGACUUUUCCCCUUGCCACUUCUUGCUGAUUGGGUGCUCUAAAACUCUCCAGUCAAGGCCAGGCGUGGUGGAUCAUGCUCCUAAUCCCAGCACUCUGGGAGGCCGAGGUGGGCGGAUCACUUGAGGUCAGGAGUUCGUGACCAGCCUGGACAACAUGGCGAAACCUGUCUCUACUAAAAUACAAAAAUUAACCGGGCAUGGUAUGCAUGCCUAUA